GAGACAGUAGCACAGUGGUAGUUGUAGCGGAUUGCAAUUCCUCCUCAAAAGGAAAGCAUCUAACAUCCGUUGGUCGCCAGUUCGAUCCUGGCCUGUCUCU
rnacentral:tRNA from 1 species